rnacentral:snoRNA from 13 species
CUGUAAUGAUGUUGAUCAAAUGUCUGACCUGAAGCAAGCAUGUGGACAAGAGUGUGCUGAAGAA